rnacentral:rRNA from 1 species
GCUAGAAAUUUGGGCAAUGGGGGAAACCCUGACCCAGUGACGCCGCGUGCAGGAAGGAGCCCUUCGGGGUGUAAACUGCUGUCGUGUAGGGAGAAGGGUACUAAGGUGAACAAUCUUAGUACUUGACGGUACUACAGGAGGAAGCCCAGGCUAACCUCGUGCCAGCAGCCGCGGUAAUACGGGGUGGGCGAGCGUUGCCCGGAAUUACUGGGUUUAAAGGGGGUGUAGGCGGUCUGGAUAGUCGGGUGUGUAAUGCAAUCGCUCAACGAUUGAGCUGCAUCUGAUACUUCCAGGCUAGAGGGCGGUAGAGGAGAGCGGAACUCCCGGUGUAGCGGUGAAAUGCGUAGAUAUCGGGAGGAACGCCGGUGGCGAAGGCGGCUCUCUGGGCCGUUCCUGACGCUGAGGCCCGAAAGCUGGGGGAGCGAAAGGG